GGAACCUGAAGGAAUCAUCUUCUGAAACCAGGCACGGCUUCCAGAGGCCCAGGCCUGAGAUGCAGUGUACCUUCCCCAACUUAGCUCGAGUUUGGUGACCUGUCCUGAGACAAGACUUCUGCACGUGGUGACCUGUCCUGAGACAUGACUUCCGCAUGAGUGACUCAACACUACCUGACCUAGAAUUGGCCUCUGCCUAGUAACUGCUGAGAUGGCAUCAUCUCAUUGGCCCGCUAUCCUCACCCCCAUCUCCCCAUCACCCCAACUUAUAUAAGUUCACUCCUAAUUCAAUAAAGCGAGUUCCUGCUUCGACAAGA